rnacentral:rRNA from 1 species
AUUGAACGCUGGCGGCAUGCUUUACACAUGCAAGUCGAACGGUAACAGGCCGCAAGGUGCUGACGAGUGGCGGACGGGUGAGUAAUGCAUCGGAACGUGCCCAGUCGUGGGGGAUAACUACUCGAAAGAGUAGCUAAUACCGCAUACGAUCUAUGGAUGAAAGCGGGGGACCGUAAGGCCUCGCGCGAUUGGAGCGGCCGAUGUCAGAUUAGGUAGUUGGUGGGGUAAAGGCUCACCAAGCCAACGAUCUGUAGCUGGUCUGAGAGGACGACCAGCCACACUGGGACUGAGACACGGCCCAGACUCCUACGGGAGGCAGCAGUGGGGAAUUUUGGACAAUGGGCGCAAGCCUGAUCCAGCAAUGCCGCGUGCAGGAAGAAGGCCUUCGGGUUGUAAACUGCUUUUGUACGGAACGAAACGGCUCUGGUUAAUACCCGGGGCUAAUGGCGGUACCGUAAGAAUAAGCACCGGCUAACUACGUG